rnacentral:rRNA from 1 species
UGGGGAAUAUUGCACAAUGGGCGGAAGCCUGAUGCAGCGACGCCGCGCGGGGGAUGAAGUCCUUCGGGUUGUAUACUCCUUUCGACAGGGACGAAGCUUUUGUGACGGUACCUGUAUAAGAAGCACCGGCUACCUACGUUCUAGCAGCCGCGGUAAUACGUAGGGUGCGAGCGUUGUCCGGAAUUACUGGGCGUAAAGAGCUCGUAGGUGGUUUGUCGCGUCGUCCGUGAAAUUCCGGGGCUUAACUCCGGGCGUGCAGGCGAUACGGGCUGACUUGAGUGCUGUAGGGGAGACUGGAAUUCCUGGUGUAGCGGUGAAGUGCGCAGAUAUCAGGAGGAACACCGAUGGCGAAGGCAGGUCUCUGGGCAGUAACAGACGCUGAGGAGCGAAAGCAUGGGUAGCGAACAGG